GCGUAGCUCAGUGGAUAGAGCGUCUGCCUCCGGAGCAGAAGGUCGUAGGUUCGAAUCCUGUCGCGG
rnacentral:tRNA from 8 species